UACGUAGGGGGCUAGCGUUGUCCGGAAUCAUUGGGCGUAAAGAGCGUGUAGGCGGCCCGGUAAGUCCGCUGUGAAAGUCGGGGGCUCAACCCUCGAAUGCCGGUGGAUACUGUCGGGCUAGAGUGCGGAAGAGGCGAGUGGAAUUCCUGGUGUAGCGGUGAAAUGCGCAGAUAUCAGGAGGAACACCAGUGGCGAAGGCGGUGAUCUGGGCCGAUACUGACGCUGUAGAGCGAAAGCGUGGGGAGCGAACAGG
rnacentral:rRNA from 1 species